rnacentral:rRNA from 1 species
GAUGAACGCUGGCGGCGUGCCUAAUACAUGCAAGUCGAGCGAACAGAUAAGGAGCUUGCUCCUUUGACGUUAGCGGCGGACGGGUGAGUAACACGUGGGUAACCUACCUAUAAGACUGGGAUAACUUCGGGAAACCGGAGCUAAUACCGGAUAAUAUUUCGAACCGCAUGGUUCGAUAGUGAAAGAUGGUUUUGCUAUCACUUAUAGAUGGACCCGCGCCGUAUUAGCUAGUUGGUAAGGUAACGGCUUACCAAGGCGACGAUACGUAGCCGACCUGAGAGGGUGCUCGGCCACACUGGAACUGAGACACGGUCCAGACUCCUACGGGAGGCAGCAGUAGCGAAUCUUCCGCAAUGGGCGAAAGCCUGACGGAGCAACGCCGCGUGAGUGAUGAAGGUCUUCGGAUCGUAAAACUCUGUUAUUAGGGAAGAACAUACGUGUAAGUAACUGUGCACGUCUUGACGGUACCUAAUCAGAAAGCCACGGCUAACUACGUG